GCGGCAUGCCUUACACAUGCAAGUCGAACGGUAGAGGGGCAACCCUUGAGAGUGGCGAACGGGUGAGUAAUAUAUCGGAACGUGCCCAGUCGUGGGGGAUAACGCAGCGAAAGCUGCGCUAAUACCGCAUACGAUCUAAGGAUGAAAGCGGGGGAUCGCAAGACCUCGCGCGAUUGGAGCGGCCGAUAUCAGAUUAGGUGGUUGGUGGGGUAAAAGCCCACCAAGCCGACGAUCUGUAGCUGGUCUGAGAGGACGACCAGCCACACUGGGACUGAGACACGGCCCAGACUCCUACGGGAGGCAGCAGUGGGGAAUUUUGGACAAUGGGCGCAAGCCUGAUCCAGCAAUGCCGCGUGCAGGACGAAGGCCUUCGGGUUGUAAACUGCUUUUGUACGGAGCGAAACGGUCUGGGUUAAUACCCUGGGCUAAUGACGGUACCGUAAGAAUAAGCACCGGCUAACUACGUGCCAGCAGCCGCGGUAAUACGUAGGGUGCGAGCGUUAAUCGGAAUUACUGG
rnacentral:rRNA from 1 species